UGCAAAAUGAGGAAUUUUUUUAAUGGCUGAAAUUGAUGUGGAGUUUCCGUAUCAUUUUAAUGGUCUUCAAGGUUCUCUCAUUGCU